rnacentral:rRNA from 1 species
AGCGGCGGAUGGGUGAGUAACACGUGGGGAACCUGCCCCUAAGUCUGGGAUACCACUUGGAAACAGGUGCUAAUACCGGAUAAUAAAGCAGAUCGCAUGAUCAGCUUUUGAAAGGCGGCGUAAGCUGUCGCUAAGGGAUGGCCCCGCGGUGCAUUAGCUAGUUGGUAAGGUAACGGCUCACCAAGGCGACGAUGCAUAGCCGAGUUGAGAGACUGAUCGGCCACAUUGGGACUGAGACACGGCCCAAACUCCUACGGGAGGCAGCAGUAGGGAAUCUUCCACAAUGGACGCAAGUCUGAUGGAGCAACGCCGCGUGAGUGAAGAAGGUUUUCGGAUCGUAAAGCUCUGUUGUUGGUGAAGAAGGAUAGAGGUAGUAACUGGCCUUUAUUUGACGGUAAUCAACCAGAAAGUCACGGCUAACUACGUGCCAGCAGCCGCGGUAAUACGUAGGUGGCAAGCGUUGUCCGGAUUUAUUGGGCGUAAAGCGAGCGCAGGCGGAAAAAUAAGUCUAAUGUGAAAGCCCUCGGCUUAACCGAGGAACUGCAUCGGAAACUGUUUUUCUUGAGUGCAGAAGAGGAGAGUGGAACUCCAUGUGUAGCGGUGGAAUGCGUAGAUAUAUGGAAGAACACCAGUGGCGAAAGGCGGCUCUCUGGUCUGCAACUGACGCUGAGGCUCGAAAGCAUGGGUAGCGAACAGGAUUAGAUACCCUGGUAGUCCAUGCCGUAAACGAUGAGUGCUAAGUGU